GUCGUCAGCUCGUGUCGUGAGAUGUUGGGUUAAGUCCCGCAACGAGCGCAACCCUUGUCUUAGUUGCCAUCAUUCAGUUGGGCACUCUAAAGAGACUGCCGGUGUCAAACCGGAGGAAGGUGGGGAUGACGUCAAGUCCUCAUGGCCUUUAUGACCAGGGCUACACACGUACUACAAUGGCCGGUACAAAGGGCAGCCACUUAGCGAUAAGGAGCCAAUCCCGUAAAGCCGGUCUCAGUCCGGAUUGGAGUCUGCAACUCGACUCCAUGAAGUUGGAAUCGCUAGUAAUCGCAGAUCAGCACGCUGCGGUGAAUACGUUCCCGGGCCUU
rnacentral:rRNA from 1 species